rnacentral:rRNA from 1 species
AACAAGGAUUCCCCUAGUAACUGCGAGUGAAGCGGGAAAAGCUCAAAUUUAAAAUCUGGCGGUCUUUGGCCGUCCGAGUUGUAAUCUAGAGAAGUGAUGCCCGUGCUGGACCGUGUAUAAGUCUCCUGGGAUGGGGCGUCAUAGAGGGUGAGAAUCCCGUCUUUGACACGGACUGCCAGUGCGCUGUGGUAUGCUCUCAAAGAGUCGAGUUGUUUGGGAAUGCAGCUCAAAAUGGGUGGUAAAUUCCAUCUAAAGCUAAAUAUUGGCGAGAGACCGAUAGCGAACAAGUACCGUGAGGGAAAGAUGAAAAGAACUUUGGAAAGAGAGUUAAACAGUACGUGAAAUUGCUGAAAGGGAAACGCUUGAAGUCAGUCGCGUUGGCUGGGAAUCAGCCUUGCUUUUUGCAUGGUGUACUUUCUGGUCGACGGGUCAGCAUCAAUUUUGACCGCCGGAAAAGGCUCGAGGGAAUGUGGCAGCUUCGGCUGUGUUAUAGCCCUUGUUCACAUACGGCGGUUGGGAUUGAGGAACUCAGCACGCCGCAAGGCCGGGUUUCGACCACGUUCGUGCUUAGGAUGCUGGCAUAAUGGCUUUAAGCGACCCGUCUUGAAACACGGACCAAGGAGUCUAACAUGCCUGCGAGUAUUUGAGUGGAAAACCCAAGUGCGCAAUGAAAGUGAAAGUUGAGAUCCCUGUCGUGGGGAGCAUCGACGCCCGGACCAGAACUUUUGGGACGGAUCCGCGGUGGAGCAUGCAUGUUGGGACCCGAAAGAUGGUGAACUAUGCCUGAAUAGGGUGAAGCCAGAGGAAACUCUGGUGGAGGCUCGUAGCGAUUCUGACGUGCAAAUCGAUCGUCAAAUUUGGGUAUAGGGGC